GGUUUUCCAGUUUGUUUCUUCAUCUCUUCCAGACAUCUGUUACCGUUGUGGUGAGUCUGGUCAUCUUGCCAAGGAUCGUGAUCUUCAGGAGAUGCCUGCUAUAACUGCGGUAGAGGUGGCCACAUUGCCAAGGACUGCAAGGAACCGAAGCGAGAGAGAGAGCAAUGCUGCUACAACUGUGGCAACCUGGCCACUUGGCUCGUGACUGCGACCACGCAGAUGAGCAGAAGUGCUAUUCAUGUGGAGAGUUUGGGCACAUUCAGAAAGAUUGCCCCAAAGUGAAAUGCUAUAGGUGGUAGGUCAAGAACUCCACUCCUGCCCCAAAGAAUUAAUGUGACCUUCAGCAACGAAAGGCUUCGAUGAUGGAAUUAACUUACUGACUGACGAAUUGGUUACAUCUAAGGCAAAUAAUACACCAAGACUCAUAGGUUUGUGCUUUCAGGAAUCCAACUCAGCAUUAGAAUUUACUCUGUUCUCUGAUCAGCAGAGUACUUCAAUUUGGCAUCUUUUCAAAGCAUAUUCACUUAAAGUUUAAAAAUAGAAGGGUUGGAUCAUAUAAUAAUUUGUGGAAAUAAUACUUGGCUUGGGGGGAAAAUCUUAAUUUUCAGGUGUGCUGGCAAUCUAAAUUAAAAUACCACAGAUAUGUCAUAAGGGCUUUUGUUUUGAAACUAAUGGGAAGCCAAAUGACCUCUAGUUUCAUAUUUUUGUCUGCCUCUUCUCCCUGUUGGGGGAUGAGGUAUGAAAUAUAUCUGGUUGCCUUUUCCUUUUGACUUCCUGGCUGCUUUGUAACUAUCCCAUAAGCCAUCCACUUUUACCAUUUACUACCCUGGUUCUAUCUGAUAGAGUUCCCUUCUUAGCUGAGUGCUUUGCAAAUGGCCCUUCCCUGGUAUUGCCUUGCCCACUCUAGUGGUUUUUCACAUUACAUUUAGGAUGUGUCUGUUCUGAAAAUUAUCUUUUCCAAGAUGAAACAAAAACCUGGUACACUUGGUUUGAGGAACUAAAGUCAUCCACAGACUUGAUUAAUGAAAAAUGAAACUUGUGAUGGUAAAUGUUAGCUUUCUGAUUACAAAAUGCUCCAGGAACUAAAGUUAUCCAAAGAAAUGAUUAAUGAAAAACGAAGCUUGUGAUGGUAAAUGUUAGCUUUCUGAUUACAAAAUGCUCCUGUGCUAAGGACUAAGUUUAUGGAUAGAAAUCAAAUUUAAAUUUAGCAUUUAAAAUUUUCUUUUAACAGUCAGAAUAUCCUUCUAUGUGUAUUAAGAGUACCUUGAGGGGCAGCUAGGUGGCGCAGUGGAUAGAGCACUGGCCCUGGAGUCAGGAGUACCUGAGU